GACCUGGUCAGGAUGAACGCUAGCGGCAGGCUUAACACAUGCAAGUCGAGGGGCAGCAUAAUGGAUAGCAAUAUCUAUGGUGGCGACCGGCGCACGGGUGCGUAACGCGUAUGCAACCUACCUUUAACAGGGGGAUAACACUGAGAAAUUGGUACUAAUACCCCAUAAUAUCAUAGAAGGCAUCUUUUAUGGUUGAAAAUUCCGAUGGUUAGAGAUGGGCAUGCGUUGUAUUAG
rnacentral:rRNA from 1 species